AGUGUCACAGAAAAGAGACCGCCGGUUCUUUGAGAAAAGCACAGGCAAGGGUGAAAAUGGCGAGGUAAGAGCUCACCGCUCGCGGAGUAAUUCGCGAGGCACGAAAAACCCCAUGCGGUGCAAGACAAAACAGAGGAAGGGCAGCCGGCCCGAUAAAAUCCUCGGGUAUCGUCGCACCACGGUCCCGCGACUGCGGGACCGGGCAUUCGUCCCGCGCAUGCGGGACGGAUGAGAUGAAUGAUCAUCCCGGUUGAGAAUUCAGCCGGACAGAAUUCGGCUUAUCGCCAUCGAACCUAU
rnacentral:RNase_P_RNA from 1 species